UUCGCGCGUUCUCUGGUCUGGAAAUUCGAGGCUACAGACGACGGGCAGCGUGGAUAUCCAGCGUAAACAGAAAGGACUGGAAACCGUCGCAGCAUUCGCGUGGUUGCUCUGAACACUUUCUGUCAGGAAAGCCAUUCUCUGUGUAUGAUUCAACUAACCCUGACUGGGUACCAUCUGCAAGGAUGGGUUAUGUUGCUACGAGCACUUACAGUGGAGAGAGAUUCGUUCGUCUCAAGAGAAGGCCUAGUACACCUAACAGCACUGGGGGAAACAAACGUAGGGUAGUAGAUGCACCCGUUGAUGAUGACAAGGACGCUUCUCUAGAGACUGAUCACCACCCGCCAACGGAUACAUUUCUAGCACUAGACGCCACUGAAACAGACGCAGUGACUGGUUGUGCUUGUCAAACAGACCUUGAAGGAGAGAGCAUUGAAUCCAUGAAAAUGGAAUAGAGAAGCUGAGGAAUGAAUGUGAGUGUCUUCGAAGAGAGAAGGACUGCCUUUUGAAAGACAACAAAGCUCUUCAGGAAGACAAUGAGUGGCUGCAAAUGGACAUUCUCAAAGUCAAGGAAGAUGCAAAAAAGUUCUGAAUCAUUUGAGGUUCUUAAAGCAGAUCAACAGAAGCUGAAGUUUUUACACAGAGAUUCCUGAAUGGGCAAUAUUUCUCGCUCUGUUUAAUUAACCCUGUUUCGCCAACUCUAGCAGAUGGUUCAAAACUCCCUAAGACUUUUGCUUUUAUCAUGUUUCUUAUGAAACUUUGACUAAAUAUUUGUGAUCAGGACAUAGCAUACAGAUUUGGCAUUCACAGAACAACAGUGUCAAGAAGUUUUCAGCGAGUGAUGGAAGCAACUGCCAUUAGAACAUCACGCCUGAUAAAGUGGCCAGACAGAGAGACCUUACGACAAACUAUGCCUACUUCCUUCAAAAGAUUCUUUAAAAAGUGUUGUGUGAUUAUUGAUUGCACUGAAGUAUUUAUGGAGAGGCCUUCAGAUCUUCUUGCUUGUGCAUAAGUAAUGGAGUCACUAUAAGCACCAUUCAACAAUAAAGUUUUUGCUUGGGAUUUCACCACGAGGGACUAUAUCAUUUGUGUCGCAGUGUGUUGGUGGACGCAUGUCAGACAAAGAGGUUGUUGAAAAAUCUCAACUUAUGGAACAUUUACUGCCAGGAGACAUUAUAUUGGCUGACAGAGGCUUGACUAUGCCAGUUUGGUAAUGGCUGAGGGGAACCCCUCCGUUUACUAAAGGCAAAAAACAGCUGGAGAAGAAGGAGGUGGACUGGAGUAGAGAGUUGUCUGCUGUCAGAAUACAUCUCGUUAUCUUUAUGUUACCUUUAUGAUUUACCGCACUCGACCAUCAGACUAAGAAAUCACGUCAAACUCGCGAAUUCACUGAUAAAAUUUGCUUUAAAUCUUUCGCAAUUAGUAUACUAGCGCCGUAUUAUCUAACACACAG